AAAUUAACCAAAUUAACUGAAGUUUGAUUUCAAAGAUAGGUUUGGGUUUGCUCUCUGGAUUUUUAGAGAGAGAUUUUUCUCUCAAAGUUCUUUUUUAGGGAACAAAGACCUUUUUCUCUCUACUAUUCAAAGCCGUCCCUUGCCCUCUAAGGUAGAGGAAGGUUUCUUCUCCUCCUCAAGGUAUGGGUUUCCCUCCUCAUCUUUGGGUGAGGCUGUGAAUAGUGUAUAUGUUUGAUUUUGAGUUUCAAGACAGAUAAAAUGGAGAGGAUCCUUGAGUUUUCUUGCGAUGAGGAUCUGUCCAUAGGAGGAAUCAUGUUUUCAACAUUACUCUGCUCUUCUAAGUGACUGUUUGAGUUAAGGCUUGGUGAGAAAGUGAUGGACACGUAUGGGUCCACUAGAUUGAUAUGCCUUUGGCUGACCCAAAGCUCUAAGAGACCGUGAUGCCUUGGUCCUCUUCGUUUAUCACUCUCCUUUUGGUCUUCUCUGUUGCUGUGAUGGUUGAGAUCUUGAGGUCCAAUAAAGGAUGAAUGGCGAUGGCUCAUAUGCAUGCUGCUCUCAUUGUGGAAUUCUACUAGGGUUUUGGUCAUAUAGAGAUGUAUUUUUUUCCCCCUUAAGGUUGGGGCUUAUAUUGUUUGGUUUGUGUUGUGUUGACUUGAGAUGGCUAUUUGGACCUCUUGAUUGUUUCUUGUUUUGGAGACAAGGCCUAUUAUAUGCACUCCUUUGACAUUCAAGGCUUUUAAUCAAUUAGCAUUAAAAAAAAAAUGAAAUUUGGUUUUUCUUUUAA